AAAGGCCUGUAGCUCAGCUGGUUAGAGCGCACCCCUGAUAAGGGUGAGNUCGGCAGUUCAAGUCUGCCCAGGCCUACCAAUGAGUCUGGGUUAACAAGAGUUGUUAUGAAGGGGCUAUAGCUCAGCUGGGAGAGCGCCUGCCUUGCACGCAGGAGGUCAGCGGUUCGAUCCCGCUUAGCUCCACCAUUUGUGAGUUGAGGUGUUAUGUGUUGAGACGAAGAGGCUAGCUAUAAGCAUCCCGAUAGGGUGAUUUAUAUCCUGGUUUUUUUAGCAGUACUUUGCGAUUUAUCGUUUAGUGCUGGUUAUCCUAGAGAUAUCCAGAGCCUGCCGGGGACGACUUGGUGGGGUAGUUCUUUAACAAGUUGGAUUUGAGUCAAGAUUAUUAUGUAGGCUUGUGCAUUGGCAUAAGCAGACAGAAUGAUCUAACCAAGAGUAAUCAAGUAAAAAGCGAACUUGGUGGCAAUACAAAUAAAAUGGCGAAGGUAAAAUCGAAGCGAAAUGAUGUUUUAUGGUGGGCGUAACGAGCCGAUCAGAUCAUUUAGGCUUAUAUGGUCAAGUGACUAAGCGCAUAUGGCGAAUGCCUUGGCAGUUAGAGGCGAUGAAGGACGUGCUAA
rnacentral:misc_RNA from 1 species